CAAAAACAUGUCUGUGCGAAGGUAUGUAGAGUCUGGCCUGCCCACUGACUUAGAAAUUGUUUAAAGGGCCGCGGUAUUUUGACCGUGCGAAGGUAGCAUAAUCAUUAGUCUUUUAAUUGAAGGCUCGUAUGAAUGGUCGGACAAAAAGUAAGCUGUCUUCAAUUAUAAAAAUUGAAUUUGACUUUUAAGUGAAAAGGCUUAAAUAUAACAAAGUGACGAUAAGACCCUAUAAAGCUUUAUAGUGUAGUUUUUUAUUAUAAAUUAUUAAAUUGUAUAACUUAAUUUAAAAUAAAGCUUUUUCGUUGGGGCGACGAAAAUAUAAUUAAAAUAACUGUUUUUGUUCUUAUAACAAAUAUAUUUGGUUUAAAUAAAUGAUCCUUUAUUAGAGAUUAAAAGAUUAAGUUACUUUAGGGAUAACAGCGUAAUCUUCUUUGAGAGUUCAUAUCGACAAGAAGGGUUGCGACCUCGAUGUUGAAUUAAGGUUCCUUUAUGGUGUAGCAGUUAUAAUUGGAGGUCUGUUCGACCUUUAAAUCCUUACAUGAUUUGAGUUCAGACCGGCGUAAG
rnacentral:rRNA from 1 species